rnacentral:misc_RNA from 1 species
AAUCCUUUCAUAGCAAUCCAUCCGUAUCCUCAAUCUCUAUUAUCAAAAACAAAACAUUACACUAAGAUACCAACUAAUCUAACAGUCCAAACAACCUUAUCUACCUUAAAUCCAGUCUUCAGCUAGCAAAAAAGUAACCAACAACCCAAAACUAAAAACAGUAUUCAACACUACAUAUCCAAAUUGCAAGCUGAACUACAUCGCUAAUCCACAUUAUUAAUAACGACUAGGAAACAACAAAUAAUUACAAUACAUAAAUUCAUUCAUACCUUGACAUCGCAGUUCCUAUUAAAUUCGCAAUCAAACAGAAAUUGACGAAGAGGAAGAAAUGAAAAAGAAUCAUACCCAUAUUCAACUGGCGCUUCG